AAUAAGUGCAGUUUUGCACUAUUCAUGUUCAACGUUUGACCGUCCGUCUUAUUUGAAAAUUUUUUAUGAUUAGUAUUUUUAUUGCUAUUAGAUGAUAAAACAUGAAUAUUACUUUAUGUGUGACUAAAUGUUUUUAAUUUUUUCACAAAUUUUUCAAAUAAGACGGACGGUCAAACGUUGAACGUGAAUAGUGCAAAACUGCACUUAUU
rnacentral:pre_miRNA from 1 species